rnacentral:rRNA from 1 species
UAGGGAAUCUUCGGCAAUGGGGGCAACCCUGACCGAGCAACGCCGCGUGAGUGAAGAAGGUUUUCGGAUCGUAAAGCUCUGUUGUAAGAGAAGAACGUGUGUGAGAGUGGAAAGUUCACACAGUGACGGUAACUUACCAGAAAGGGACGGCUAACUACGUGCCAGCAGCCGCGGUAAUACGUAGGUCCCGAGCGUUGUCCGGAUUUAUUGGGCGUAAAGCGAGCGCAGGCGGUUUAAUAAGUCUGAAGUUAAAGGCAGUGGCUUAACCAGUGGUCGCUUUGGAAACUGUUAAACUUGAGUGCAGAAGGGGAGAGUGGAAUUCCAUGUGUAGCGGUGAAAUGCGUAGAUAUAUGGAGGAACACCGGUGGCGAAAGCGGCUCUCUGGUCUGUAACGGACGCUGAGGCUCGAAAGCGUGGGGAGCAAACAGG